rnacentral:misc_RNA from 1 species
UCUUGCCUUGCGGUCACACAAUGCAUCUGGAAUGUGUCAUGCAGAUGGAACAACAUUUCCAGUAUUCUUGUCCUGUUUGCUCAAAAUCAUACUGUGACAUGUCUCGAGUCUGGGAGCAACUGGACCAGGAGGUUGCAUCAACAGCUAUGCCUGAAAUGUAUCAGGACAAGAAGGUUUGGAUUCUUUGCAACGACUGUGCGGAAACAUCUGAGGUUAACUUCCAUAUAGUAGCACAUAAAUGUCCAAGUUGCAAAUCCUAUAAUACAAGGCAGACAAGAGGAGGGUCCAGUUCAUGCUCUAAUAUUACCGAAAUGGUUAGAUGAGGUUCUUCAUCGCGACAUUGACAAGCUUUUCAACGAUGAAAUCAAUGCCCACGAGUCACGACUGCAACAAUUGGUAUGAUUUAUAACUUCAUUAUUUUUCACGAGUUUACUAGGGUAAGCAUUGUCAUUACUUGCAACAAGGAGAGUUGUCG